AUUGAACGCUGGCGGCAUGCCUUACACAUGCAAGUCGGACGGCAGCGCGGGAGCAAUCCUGGCGGCGAGUGGCGAACGGGUGAGUAAUACAUCGGAACAUGUCCAGUAGUGGGGGAUAGCCCGGCGAAAGCCGGAUUAAUACCGCAUACGAUCUAUGGAUGAAAGCGGGGGAUCGCAAGACCUCGCGCUAUUGGGGUGGCCGAUGGCGGAUUAGCUAGUUGGUGGGGUAAAGGCCUACCAAGGCGACGAUCCGUAGCUGGUCUGAGAGGACGACCAGCCACACUGGGACUGAGACACGGCCCAGACUCCUACGGGAGGCAGCAGUGGGGAAUUUUGGACAAUGGGGGCAACCCUGAUCCAGCAAUGCCGCGUGUGUGAAGAAGGCCUUCGGGUUGUAAAGCACUUUUGUCCGGGAAGAAAUCCCCUGCCCUAAUACGGCGGGGGGAUGACGUACCGAAGAUAGCC
rnacentral:rRNA from 1 species